rnacentral:tRNA from 3 species
GCGCCCUUAGUUUAAUGGUAAAACGAAGGUCUCCAAAACCUUUGUUGAGGGUUCGACUCCUUCAGGGCGCG